rnacentral:rRNA from 1 species
GUGAGGAAUAUUGGUCAAUGGGCGCGAGCCUGAACCAGCCAAGUCGCGUGAGGGAUGACGGUCCUAUGGAUUGUAAACCUCUUUUGUCAGGGAGCAACGAUGCCACGUGUGGCAGAAGAGAGAGUACCUGAAGAAAAAGCAUCGGCUAACUCCGUGCCAGCAGCCGCGGUAAUACGGAGGAUGCGAGCGUUAUCCGGAUUUAUUGGGUUUAAAGGGUGCGUAGGCGGAAAGUUAAGUCAGCGGUAAAAUCGAGGGGCUCAACCCCUUCCGGCCGUUGAAACUGGUUUUCUUGAGUGAGCGAGAAGUAUGCGGAAUGCGUGGUGUAGCGGUGAAAUGCAUAGAUAUCACGCAGAACUCCGAUUGCGAAGGCAGCAUACCGGCGCUCAACUGACGCUGAGGCACGAAAGCGUGGGGAUCGAACAGGA